CAGGGCAUAGAUAUCCAGUGACUUCGAAAUAAGAGAUGGGGUUAUCCAUCUGUCCCUGCACUGCUGGAGCAGUUCCUGUGGUUUUCUGUGAAUGGUGGAAGCUCACCAUUCAAGUUCACCGCAAUUAAACCACACUUCCCCUAGAUCCCCCAACCAGACUCACCUGUUACCUCCCUCCAUGUCUUCUUGAGUUACAAGAUGUCCAAACCAUCCAGCAAGCUCUCCUUUGCUUAAUUUAAGUGGAGCAAGCAAGAUAAGUUGCUGAUCUUCCUUUUGACCAUCAGAGUUCUGGAAUGGAUUAGUGCCAAGAACAACAAAAGGAUCCAACCUAAUUUGGUUUUAACUCACAUGCAGUCAGUCAGCCUUCACAGUGGCUCUUGUCAGGUUCAGUCCUCCAUGCUGUUUAAAAAGCAAUGUUGUCCUUGGUGUUCACUGAGGAUGCCACCUUGCAUCUG
rnacentral:lncRNA from 1 species